AGUUGCUAUAUCUUAGAUUUAAUUUUUAGUAUAUAUGUUUCAUUUAUUUUUGAAAAGUUUUAUUCUUGCUUGUUUAUUUAUUUUUUUUCUUUAUAUUAUAUGUAAGUUUUGUAAGACUAAAUGUUCUUUUUGCAGUGAUUUAAUUUAAUUAUCAAGUUUUUUUGGAAUUAGUAAUUGAUUUAGUAUUUGCAUAUUUCGUGCCAGCAGCCGCGGUUAUACGAUUAAUACAAGUGAAUAUUAUUGGUUAAAACAGUUAUUUAUAUUUUUGGAUUAAAUUAUAAAUUUAUGAGGUGAAAUUUUAUUUUUUUUUAUGAUUCAUUUUAUGAAUCUGUGAAGCUUAAUUAAUAAACUAGGAUUAGAUACCCUAUUAUUUUAAGUGUUAAUUUUAUUUACCUGGGUACUGUUAGUUAGGAUCUUUAAACCCAAAGAAUUUGGCGGUAUCUCAUUCCAUUCAGAGGAACCUACUCCGUAAUUGAUAGUACACGAUUUACUUUACUUAAUUUAUUUGUUUGUAUAUCUCCGUUAUAAGAAAAUCUUUUUGAAGUUUUAAUUUUCUUAAUUUAUAAUUAUGAAAUAUUUCAGGUCAAGGUGCAGUUUAUAUUUAAGUGGAAGCGGGUUACAAUAAAUUUUUAUUUAUAAUGGAUUUAAUAUUGAAAUAUUGUUAAUAAAGGUGGAUUUGAUAGUAAUUUGAUUUAUUUAAUUUAAUUGAUAUUGGCUCUGAGGUGUGUACACAUCGCCCGUCACUCUCAUUAUUAUAUUUUAUUUAUAUAUUAUUAUAAUUAAUUUAGAUGAGAUAAGUCGUAACAUAGUAGAUGUACUGGAAAGUGUAUCUAGAAAGAUA
rnacentral:ncRNA from 1 species